GACGAACGCUGGCGGCGUGCUUAACACAUGCAAGUCGAACGGUGAAGCGCCUUCCUUUUUGGUGGGUGUGGAUGAGUGGCGAACGGGUGAGUAACACGUGAGUAACCUGCCCCCUUCUUCUGGAUAACCGCAUGAAAGUGUGGCUAAUACGGGAUAUUCUGGGUCUGUCGCAUGAUGGGUCUGGGAAAGAUAUUGUUUCGGUGGGGGAUGGGCUCGCGGCCUAUCAGCUUGUUGGUGGGGUGAUGGCCUACCAAGGCGGUGACGGGUAGCCGGCCUGAGAGGGUGGACGGUCACACUGGGACUCAGACACGGCCCAGACUCCUACGGGAGGCAGCAGUGGUGAAUAUUGCACAAUGGGCGCAAGCCUGAUGCAGCGACGCCGCGUGAGGGAUGGAGGCCUUCGGGUUGUGAACCUCUUUCGCCAGUGAAGCAGGCCUGCCUCGUUUGUGGGUGGGUUGACGGUAGCUGGAUAAGAAGCGCCGGCUAACUACGUG
rnacentral:rRNA from 1 species